rnacentral:rRNA from 1 species
GGUUGACCCUGCCAGUAGCAUAUGCUUGUCUCUGAGACUAAGCCAUGCAUGUCUAAGUAUAAAUUAAUUUUUACGGUGAAACUGCGGACGGCUCAUUAAAUCAGUUAUAACCUACUUGAUCGUGUGACUUUAUUCGGAUAACCCUAGUAAUUCUAGAGCUAAUACGUGCUAAAAGCCUUAACUUCCAGCAAUGGGGGAAGAGGUGUAUUUAUUAGAAACUAAAACCAAUCAGCUUCGGCUGUUUGAGAUGAUUCAUAAUAACUCGGCAAAUUACGGGAAAAUUCCUGUGAUGAUUCAAACGGAUUUCUGACCUAUCAACUUUAGAUGGCAAAGUAGGGGUUUGCCAUGGUGACAACGGGUGACGGGGAAUUAGGGUUCGAUUCCGGAGAGGGAGCCUGAGAAACGGCUACCACUUCCGAGGAAGGCAGCAGGCGCGCAAAUUACCCAAUGCUAAUUCGGCGAGGUAGUGACAAGAAAUACCAAUGUAGGACCCAACGGGUACUACGUUUGGAAUGAGAACAAUUUAAAAACCUUAACGAGGAACAGUUGGAGGGCAAGUCUGGUGCCAGCAGCCGCGGUAAUUCCAGCUCCAAUAGUGUAUAUUAAAGUUGCUGCGGUUAAAAAGCUCGUAGUUGGAUUACGAAGUGGUGUUUAAAUGUCAUUUUGGUUUGUUUGUCUUUCGGGGCAUUCAGGUCAACUUGGCUUUUACUCACUGUUGUCAUUGUCUUUGCCCAAGGUAUAUGCCUUGUGUGCAUGGCAUUGACCUUCUAUUUUAUGGUAAUGUUGUAUCUUUCGGGGUACAUUCAUUCCAUAUAGUUUACUUUGAAAAAAUUAGGGUGUUUAAAGCAGGCGAAAAGGCUUCGGAAUAUAUUAGCAUGGGAUAAUAGAAUACGAUCUAGGUCGUAAUUUGUUGGUUUCUACGGCUUAGGUAAUGAUUGACAGGGAUAGUUGGGGUCGCUCGUAUUGAGUUGUCAGAGGUGAAAUUCUAGGAUUAACUCAAGACGAACUAAUGCGAAAGCAUUCGGCAAGGAUGUUUUCAUUAAUCAAGAACGAAAGUUGGGGGAUCGAAGAUGAUCAGAUACCGUCGUAGUCUCAACUGUAAACUAUGUCGACCGAGGAUCCGGUAGCGUUACAUGGAUGACCUUCCGGGCACUCUGUGAGAAAUCAUAAGUAUUUGGAUUUCGGGGGGAGUAUGGUCGCAAGGCUGAAACUUAAAGGGAUUGACGGAAGGGCACCACCAGGAGUGGAAUCUGCGGCUUAAUUUGACUCAACACGGGAAAACUUACCAGGUCCGGACACAGUGAGGAUUGACAGAUUGAGAGCUCUUUCUUGAUUUUGUGGGUGGUGGUGCAUGGCCGUUUUUAGUUGGUGGAGUGAUUUGUCUGGUUAAUUCCGUUAACGAACGAGACCUUAACCUAUUAAAUAGCUGCGCGAACCCAGGUUCUUUAACCAUUCUC